UGUUAGUUCGCUUAACAACAUAUUACUAAAAUUGGAACGAUUACAGAGAAGAUUUAGGCAUGGCCCGCUGCGCAAGGAUGACACGCAAAUUCGUGAAGCGUUCCUCAUUUUU
rnacentral:snRNA from 1 species